GACCGGCUGGUCUAAUGGAAUGACGCUCCACUACACCUUUUGGAGCUAACGCUAUCCGGAGCAGUGUGGGUUCGAAUCCCGCGCUGGUCG